rnacentral:lncRNA from 14 species
GUACCAGGGAACCUGGAGACAGGAGGCAGAGCAGCCACAGUGUCUGCACAGAGGUGAAGCUCUGCAAAGGGCUGUUUGGGUCCUGCCAUGUGAAGCAGGAUGAGCCAAGCAGAAGCUGCUCUGGAGAUGAUGCACUGCAUUAAUGCAAGGAAAUCAGCCAGACCUGGUGCUGCCCUUCAUGAGGGACUGACUUUGGUGCUUGGCAAGCAGGAG